AACGAACGCUGGCGGCGUGUUUAAGACGUGCAAGUCGCACGGGAUAAGACAUGUAGUAAUACUUGUUUUAUUUAGUGGCGCACGGGUGAGUAACACGUGAAUUACAUGCCCUAUAGUGGGGAAUAGCCCAGGGAAACUUGGAUUAAUACCCAUGGUAUCGAAAGAUUAAAGGUGGCCGCAAGGCUGUCGCUAUAGGAUUGGUCCGCGCCCUAUCAGCUUGUUGGUGAGGUAACGGCUCACCAAGGCAAUGACGGGUACCUGGUCUGAGAGGACGAUCAGGCACACUGGAACUGAGACACGGUCCAGACACCUACGGGUGGCAGCAGUCGAGAAUAAUUCACAAUGGGGGCAACCCUGAUGGUGCAACGCCGCGUGGAGGAUGACGGUCUUCGGAUUGUAAACUCCUGUCAUCUGGGAGAAAGACCUGACGGUAAAUAGCCGGCAGGGUUGAUAGUACCAGAAGAGGAAGGGACGGCUAACUUCGUGCCAGCCGCCGCCGUAA
rnacentral:rRNA from 1 species